AAUUUAUUUUUUUAACGGUUAGUCUUAAAUUUCUUCAAGACUUGGAUACAUUAAAAUUAGAAUUUGAGUAACGCAAAGCAAUUCCAACUUUAAUGUGAUAUCUACUAACUCCUUUCAACAAGUAUAAAAUUCAGCUCAGGUACUUACGUUGACCUUUCUAUGUUAAAUGUCUGCUCUUGGAGUUACAAUGUCCCUUUUGUAUACAGACCAUAUUAAAGCUACAAACUGAUAGACACCUGCUUUAGAAUUUGUUUCUAUAUAAUGUGUCCAAUUUAUUUAGUGGUCAUGCUACUGAAUAGUUGACUUGGGAUGCAGUUGUUUGAUUACUAAGUUUUUUUUUUAAUUUUUAUCCAUACAUGCGAGGGGAUUGAAGAAACAUUUGAAUAGACUCAAUGCUCCAAAGCAUUUGAUGCUUGACAAGCUUGGCGGAGCAUUUAAGUGAAUAAUUAUGUAGCCAUGUGUAUAUUUCUUCUUCUGGUAUAGUCAUUGCCAUUUUAAUGUAACGUGUUUUGGUCCAUGGGAAGGCGUGAACUGAUAAGACUUAUCCAGCUGGCUUCAUGGGUAUGUGUCGUGUCUGGGUUCCUUUCCUUAUCGGUAUGUAAUGUAAUGACGGUAAAUGGUACAAGAGUGAGUUUCUUAUGGUUAAUCGAUGCCUUUCACAUCCAGAUGUUGUCUCCAUGCUAAACGAGAACUUCUGUCUGCUCUAUGACACCAAGGGGCAGAUUUCGAUUCCAUUUAAUCAGGGACGAAGAGGCAAAGUUUAAGCUUUCAAAGGUUCGAUCUGUCCAGUUUGGGAAAAAUGGGUUCUGGCUAGGGAUUUCAGUCAAAUUCCGAAAAUAUCCCUGGGAUCAAAAUAAACCGCAUACAAGCUCCAGAUUAAUUGGCUGUAGAUCGCCAGAGGUUUCAGACAAUAUAUAUGAACCACAUUAAGUAAAAAUUUGUUGGGCUGUUAUGCUGUUCAAUCUUAUGUAGAGUAGAUUCUGACAUAGCUCUUUCCAUGAUCAUCCAGAAUGACAGUCCUCGUGGCCAUCUUAUGCAGCUAAAGUGGAAGUAGCACACUUUCGGGAUUCUUCUAUGGCAAGAUAAAAAAUAGAGAUUUUAUAUUGUUUCCGCUCUGGAGGAUACAAAUUUGGAUUUGAAAGUAAAGAUUUUGCGAAGGAAUGGUUGCAUACGUUGCUGCAGCAGAGAUGCCGCUUACAAUAAUAGACUCAAUUUACUUUACUCGACUCAUACAGAAUUAUCUCCAACCCAGGUAUACUACUUAUUGUAGAAAUACUCUUCGUUCAAAUACUGUGAAAUUAUUUAACAAAAUAAAACAAGUUGUUAUUGAACAACAAAAAACUUUUAAUAGUGCGUUUAUCAUUUAUCUAUGAUUUGUGGACCAGUGUUAAUAAAAAAAUGUUAUGUUGUUUCUACGGCUCAUUACAUUGAUCACCUAUGGCUUCUGCAUAAAAGGAUUAUUGCAUUCAAAUGUGUAGAAUACCCUCAUAAUGCAAUCAAUAUAUACAUGGUUUUAAAAGAUAUUUUACAAGAAUAUGGUAUGCAAAAAAUGGUUCAAAGUUUUACUUUUGAUAAUGUUGAUAUAAACAAACUUGUUAUCGAUAAAUUUAUUAAAGACUUUAACCCUGCAUUUGGAAAUUUAUUUUUUCAUCAACGUUGUGUAUAUCAUAUUAUCAAUUUGAUUGUAAAAGAUGGAUUGGAACAUAUAAAAAUCACUUUUAGAUAAAAUUAGACAAGUAAUAAAUUUUAUUCCUAUGUCACCAGCCAGAAGGCAAACAUAUAACAGUUUGUGUGCAGAGUAUGGCUUACAAGAAAAACAUUUUUCACUGAUGUAACACAUAGAUUAAACUCUACAUAUCUUAUGUUACAUUCAUAUAAAAAUUAUGAUAAAAUUAUUUCAUUAUAUUAUACUGGUAGGCAUAUAUACAGACGCGAACAUAAUUUGGAAGAUUGAGAAUGGUUUAUUACAUUUUGUGUGAUGAAAUUUUUAAAAAAAAAAUUCGAUACUACAAAGGAACUUAGCGGUGUUCAUUACUCUACAUUUUCACUUGUUUUACAACUUUUUUUUUUUUUUUUUUUAACAUUUCACACACCUUUUAUAAAUAUAUGAGUUUGCCAUUUUUGUUAAUGUAGUCUACUCAAUGGAGUUAAAAUUUCGUAAAUAUUGAGAAAAUUUGCUAUCUUUAUUUCUUUUAGUUUUGGUGAUGGACCAUUUACUUAAUUUAACUGACAUAAAAGUUAUUAUAAAGGGGAUUUCAAAUUUUAUGAAUUUAAAAUUAUCACAUGUGCAUAUAAAAUCUACACUAUGUGAAACGUAUUACUGUUACGCUGAAAAAGAAGGUCAUGGCAACUCUACUUCCCAGAGUUCCUUUUCAAGAAAUAUUUCAACAAAUUCAAAUGAUGUACGAAAUAUUUGGACACCAAUACAAGUGUUACCUCAUUUAGUUCUAAUUCAUCAAUAUCUAAAGCGAUAGAUGUUGGUGGUACAAAUUUUGAAAUUCCCUUUGAGUUAGCUAGGUAUAUGUGCGUGUACGUUCGUAAUGUGUUACAACCAAAAGAAUCAUAAAAAUUUAAUCUUCUAUGAGGGUGGAGGUGUAAUGAAAUGUAAUAUUCAAUUGUAUCAAAAAUUGCACGUAAUCUACUAACACCUCCGACGUCUACAGUGGCAUUGAAGGUUGCGUAGUUUAGGUUGUCGAAUUUUAUCAGACGAACGAUCAAGAGUAAAAGAAGAUAUAUUUGAGGUUUUAAUAUGUUUAAAGGACUACGAAUGUGCGGAAUUUCAUAUUCAGGAACAAGUUGACAGUAUAAUGACCGAAAAGUUACACUAGAUCCAAACAUAAGAUAUUGUAAAUUUUUAAAUUGAUUAAUUUUCAAAAAAUACAUAAUUUUUAAAUUUAUUUGUCUCAAAAAAAUUGUAUACGAAAUAUUUUAUUCACGUAUAAUUUUAACUCUGCCUACUUUGAUUGUAGCCGUCCCAAGUCCUAAAAAUGAAUGAGGGUUGUAACAUUCAUUUAAUUUAUAAUUUGUAAAAAUUGUACAAAUUAAAUAUUUUUUUUUUUAAAAAGUUGGAAUUGUCAUGAAGUUUAAAAAAAAAACUCGCUAGUUGGCUCGGCUCGGUUCGGUAAUGCCCAAGCCGAAAAGCACUGGCUGAGCCUAGAUUUCUUGUCUGAGCAAAAGUUCGGCUCAAGCUCGCAAAAAAGUUCGGACCAUUUUAUUCUAGUCAAGCUCGAGCCAAAAAUUUUGCUUGCGAGCCUAGUGGGCCCGAUCCAUAAAUUUCAAAUUCACUAGGCCAGUCCACUAAGAUUGUUUGAAGUUGCUACUUAUUAACAGAAUGUUGGUGCAAUGAGUUGGGUCGGAAAGUCUAUGGGAUUGGGAUAUUUGUAGGGAUGAGAAAUGGCAAAAUGGUGGCGACCUUUUCCGAAGUUCUCGCAAGUAAUAUUGAUCCACUGGUGGGUGAGUGCAUGGCUAUUUGGGAUGGGCAGAAAUUUGCACGGGUCAAGGUCUUGAUCGUAGUAGUACACUGGUUGCUAUUCGGAAUACACAGAAGAAAAAUUUUAGGCUACUAAAUUUACCUUACAUGUUCUGUUAACAUACGCUUGUGCCUUUUUUAUGGAAGUAAGAAAGUAGUGUUAAAAUCUUGUUUGUUAUCGUGUGAACAAUAAACGCGUCUUAAGAAAAAAAA